rnacentral:rRNA from 1 species
UAGGGAAUCUUCCACAAUGGACGCAAGUCUGAUGGAGCAACGCCGCGUGAGUGAAGAAGGUUUUCGGACCGUAAAGCUCUGUUGUUGGUGAAGAAGGAUAGAGGUAGUAACUGGCCUUUAUUUGACGGUAAUCAACCAGAAAGUCACGGCUAACUACGUGCCAGCAGCCGCGGUAAUACGUAGGUGGCAAGCGUUGUCCGGAUUUAUUGGGCGUAAAGCGAGCGCAGGCGGAAGAAUAAGUCUGAUGUGAAAGCCCUCGGCUUAACCGAGGAAUUGCAUCGGAAACUGUUUUCUUGAGUGCAGAAGAGGAGAGUAGAACUCCAUGUGUAGCGGUGGAAUGCGUAGAUAUAUGGAAGAAUACCAGUGGCGAAGGCGGCUCUCUGGUCUGCAACUGACGUUGAGGCUCGAAAGCAUGGGUAGCGAACAGGAUUAGAUACCCUGGUAGUCCAUGCCGUAAACGAUGAGUGCUAAGUGUUGGGAGGCUUCCGCCUCUCAGUGCUGCAGCUAACGCAUUAAGCACUCCGCCUGGGGGAGUACGACCGCAAGGUUGAAAC